GACGAACCGUGCGAUCGUUAUUCGGAAUCACUGGGCUUAAAGCGCGUGUAGGCGGGCCGCCACGUCGGCUGCUGAAAUCCCCCGGCUCAACCGGGGAAGUGGCACCGAUACGAGCGGCCUCGAGGGGGGUAGGGGGGUCUGGAAUUUCCGGUGUAGCGGUGAAAUGCGUAGAUAUCGGAAGGAACACCAGUUGCGAAAGCGGCUUCCUGGUCCGACACCGACGUUCAGGCACGAAAGCGUGGGGAGCAAACAGG
rnacentral:rRNA from 1 species